rfam:Oryza sativa Japonica Group DNA, chromosome 7, cultivar: Nipponbare, complete sequence.
AAAAAGUAAAUCAUGGGUUUCCAUGUCGAAGUUUGACCAUCCGUCUUAUUUGAAAAAAUUAUAAAAAAAAUAAAAAGAUAAGUCACGCAUAAAGUAUUAAUCAUAUUUUAUCAUCUAACAAUAAUGAAAAUACUAAUUAUAAAAAAAUUCAUAUAAGACGGAUAGUCAAACAUUGGACACGGAAACCAGGGUUUGUCUUUUU